GAUGAACGCUGGCGGCGUGCCUAAUACAUGCAAGUCGAGCGAACAGACGAGGAGCUUGCUCCUCUGACGUUAGCGGCGGACGGGUGAGUAACACGUGGAUAACCUACCUAUAAGACUGGGAUAACUUCGGGAAACCGGAGCUAAUACCGGAUAAUAUAUUGAACCGCAUGGUUCAAUAGUGAAAGACGGUUUUGCUGUCACUUAUAGAUGGAUCCGCGCCGCAUUAGCUAGUUGGUAAGGUAACGGCUUACCAAGGCAACGAUGCGUAGCCGACCUGAGAGGGUGAUCGGCCACCCUGGAACUGAGACACGGUCCAGACUCCUACGGGAGGCAGCAGUAGGGAAUCUUCCGCAAUGGGCGAAAGCCUGACGGAGCAACGCCGCGGGAGUGAUGAAGGUCUUCGGAUCGUAAAACUCUGUUAUUAGGGAAGAACAAAUGUGUAAGUAACUAUGCACGUCUUGACGGUACCUAAGCAGAAAACCACGGCUAACUACGU
rnacentral:rRNA from 1 species